CCUACGGGAGGCAGCAGUGGGGGAUAUUGCACAAUGGGGGAAACCCUGAUGCAGCAACGCCGCGUGGGUGAAGAAGCGCCUCGGCGCGUAAAGCCCUGUCAGCAGGGAAGAAAAUGACGGUACCUGAAGAAGAAGCACUGGCUAACUACGUGCCAGCAGCCGCGGGAAUACGUAGGGGGCAAGCGUUAUCCGGAUUUAAUGGGGGGAAAGGGGGCGCAGACGGGGAUGGAAGCCAGGAGUGAAAGCCCGGGGCCCAACCCCGGGACUGCUUUUGGAACUGGGUGGCUAGAGUGCAGGAGGGGCAGGCGGAAUUCCUGGUGUAGCGGUGAAAUGCGUAGAUAUCAGGAGGAACACCGGUGGCGAAGGCGGCCUGCUGGACUGCAACUGACGUUGAGGCCCGAAAGCGUGGGGAGCAAACAGGAUUAGAUACCCCAGUAGUC
rnacentral:rRNA from 1 species